GACGAACGCUGGCGGCGUGCUUAACACAUGCAAGUCGAACGGAAAGGCCCUUCUUUUGUGGGGUGCUCGAGUGGCGAACGGGUGAUUAACACGUGAGUAACCUGCCCUUGACUUUGGGAUAACUUCAGGAAACUGGGGCUAAUACCGGAUAGGAGCUCCUGCUGCAUGGUGGGGGUUGGAAAGUUUCGGCGGUUGGGGAUGGACUCGCGGCUUAUCAGCUCGUUGGUGGGGUAGUGGCUUACCAAGGCUUUGACGGGUAGCCGGCCUGAGAGGGUGACCGGCCACAUUGGGACUGAGAUACGGCCCAGACUCCUAAGGGAGGCAGCAGUGGGGAAUAUUGCACAAUGGGCGGAAGCCUGAUGCAGCAACGCCGCGUGCGGGAUGACGGCCUUCGGGUUGUAAACCGCUUUCGCCUGUGACGAAGCGUGAGUGACGGUAAUGGGUAAAGAAGCACCGGCUAACUACGUG
rnacentral:rRNA from 1 species